rnacentral:rRNA from 1 species
UGAAAUCUGGCUCUCGGGCCCGAGUUGUAAUUUGUAGAGGAUGCUUUUGGUGCGGUGCCUUCCGAGUUCCCUGGAACGGGACGCCAUAGAGGGUGAGAGCCCCGUCUGGUCGGACACCAAUCCUCUGUAAAGCUCCUUCGACGAGUCGAGUAGUUUGGGAAUGCUGCUCUAAAUGGGAGGUAUAUGUCUUCUAAAGCUAAAUAUAGGCCAGAGACCGAUAGCGCACAAGUAGAGUGAUCGAAAGAUGAAAAGCACUUUGAAAAGAGAGUUAAAAAGUACGUGAAAUUGUUGAAAGGGAAGCGCUUGUGACCAGACUUGGGGCCGGUGAAUCAUCCAGCGUUCUCGCUGGUGCACUUCGCCGGUCCUAGGCCAGCAUCAGUUUGCCCCGGGGGACAAAGGCUUCGGGAAUGUGGCUCCUCCGGGAGUGUUAUAGCCCGUCGCGUAAUACCCUGGGGCGGACUGAGGUUCGCGCAUCUGCAUGGAU